rnacentral:rRNA from 1 species
CAGUCGCCGCGGUAAGACGGAGGGUGCUAGAGUUGUUCGGAAUCACUGGGCGUAAAGGGCGCGUAGGCGGCCUGUUAAGUCGGAUGUGAAAGCCCGGGGCUCAACCCCGGAACUGCAUCCGAGACUGGCAGGCUUGAGACCGGGAGAGGAGGGUGGAAUAUCCAGUGUAGAGGUGAAAUUCGUAGAUAUUGGAUGGAACACCAAUUGCGAAGGCAGCUUACUAAGGUAUGAUUGACGCUGAUGCACGAAAGCGUGGGGAUCAAACAGGAUUAGAUACCCCCGUAGUCCCUGUCUCUUAUAC